UGGCGUGAUGACGAGGCACUACGGUGCUGAAGCAACAAAUGCCCUGCUUCCAGGAAAAGCCUCUAAGCAUCAGGUAACAUCAAAUCGUACCCCCAACCGACACAGGUGGUCAGGUAGAGAAUACCAAGGCGCUUGAGAGAACUCGGGUGAAGGAACUAGGCAAAAUGGUGCCGUAACUUCGGGAGAAGGCACGCUGAUAUGUAGGUGAAGCGACUUGCUCGUGGAGCUGAAAUCAGUCGAAGAUACCAGCUGGCUGCAACUGUUUAUUAAAAACACAGCACUGUGCAAACACGAAAGUGGACGUAUACGGUGUGACGCCUGCCCGGUGCCGGAAGGUUAAUUGAUGGGGUUAGCGCAAGCGAAGCUCUUGAUCGAAGCCCCGGUAAACGGCGGCCGUAACAAUAACGGUCCUAAGGUAGCGAAAUUCCUUGUCGGGUAAGUUCCGACCUGCACGAAUGGCGUAAUGAUGGCCAGGCUGUCUCCACCCGAGACUCAGUGAAAUUGAACUCGCUGUGAAGAUGCAGUGUACCCGCGGCAAGACGGAAAGACCCCGUGAACCCUUACUAUAGCUUGACACUGAACAUUGAGCCUUGAUGUGUAGGAUAGGUGGGAGGCUUUGAAGUGUGGACGCCAGUCUGCAUGGAGCCGACCUUGAAAUACCACCCUUUAAUGUUUGAUGUUCUAACGUUGACCCGUAAUCCGGGUUGCGGACAGUGUCUGGUGGGUAGUUUGACUGGGGCGGUCUCCUCCUAAAGAGUAACGGAGGAGCACGAAGGUUGGCUAAUCCUGGUCGGACAUCAGGAGGUUAGUGCAAUGGCAUAAGCCAGCUUGACUGCGAGCGUGACGGCGCGAGCAGGUGCGAAAGCAGGUCAUAGUGAUCCGGUGGUUCUGAAUGGAAGGGCCAUCGCUCAACGGAUAAAAGGUACUCCGGGGAUAACAGGCUGAUACCGCCCAAGAGUUCAUAUCGACGGCGGUGUUUGGCACCUCGAUGUCGGCUCAUCACAUCCUGGGGCCGAAGUAGGUCCCAAGGGUAUGGCUGUUCGCCAUUUAAAGUGGUACGCGAGCUGGGUUUAGAACGUCGUGAGACAGUUCGGUCCCUAUCUGCCGUGGGCGCUGGAGAACUGAGGGGGGCUGCUCCUAGUACGAGAGGAGCGGAGUGGACGCAUCACUGGUGUUCGGGUUGUCAUGCCAAUGGCACUGCCCGGUAGCUAAAUGCGGAAGAGAUAAGUGCUGAAAGCAUCUAAGCACGAAACUCGCCCCGAGAUGAGUUCUCCCUGACUCCUUGAGAGUCCUGAAGGAACGUUGAAGACGACGACGUUGAUAGGCCGGGUGUGUAAGCGCAGCGAUGCGUUGAGCUAACCGGUACUAAUGAACCGUGAGGCUUAACCCU
rnacentral:rRNA from 1 species